UGAGGUAGUAGGUUGUAUAGUUUGUGGGAUGGACUCAAUCCUAUUCAGGUGAUAACUAUACAGCCUAUUACCUUCCU
rnacentral:pre_miRNA from 1 species